rnacentral:sRNA from 1 species
CCUGGAGAGUGCGCGCACCGCCGCCGGGGCAGCCGCUGGCUCCAGCUCACGAAACAGCCCCGGGCGCCGCGCCGCUCCGAGUCCAGCCUCUUACUGAGAACAGUCCCUCCCUUGUGCGGGUCGCACGGCUAGCCGCAGGUUCGGCCACGUCAAAUCCAUUUUCUAAAAAAGCAGAGAGCAGAGCUCUCUCUUCGCCGCCGACGCAGAAAGAAGGAGCUGGGGAGGAAAAAGCUGCUGCUUUUUGCGCUGGAGAUUCGUGGGCAAGGCUUCUCAUUUUCCCAGGCUGCUUCCCCUCCCGGGUGAGGAGCGCCCUGAGACUAAGGAAAGAGCCUGGAAAAUGGAGCAGACCUGGACGAGAGAUUAUUUUGCCGAGGAUGAUGGGGAGAUGGUACCCAGAACGAGUCACACAGCAGCAGAAAUGAAUUUCCAUCUUUUCUGAACAUAAAAAAAAAAAGAAUUCUAAGAAGUUGACUGAAGCAUCUGGGUGCUUUUUCUUGGGCUCCUUCUGGCAAGUUGGCAGAAUGAAGGAAAGAAGCUUUUCCUAGUGGCACUAAAGAUCGAGGCCCUCCAGUGCAGUCACAGAUCUGGAGAAGUGGUGAAAAGGUCCCUUUUGUGCAGACGUAUUCCUUGAGAGCAUUUGAGAAACCCCCUCAGGUACAGUCCCAGGCUCUUCGAGACUUUGAGAAGCACCUCAAUGACCUGAAGAAGGAGAACUUCAGCCUCAAGCUGCGCAUCUACUUCCUGGAGGAGCGCAUGCAACAGAAGUAUGAGGCCAGCCGGGAGGACAUCUACAAGCGGGAGAAUUGAAGAACUGAAUCAGAACCUGGCUGCCCAGGAGAGGCUUGUAGAACAGCUGUCUCGGGAGAAACAACAACUGCUACAUCUGUUGGAGGAGCCAACUAGCAUGGAAGUGC